rnacentral:tRNA from 1 species
AUUUACUUAGUAUAAUUAGUACAAUUAGCUUCCAACUAAAAAGCUCAUAAAUCUGAAGUAAAUA